CACCAGACAUGUUCUCAAGGUACAUUUGAAAACAUCUUUUCAGUUCAUCAGGCAAAUAAUCUUCUCUGUUCCUCAAGCUUCAUGUGGUCUGGAUGUCUUUUUGUAGAAUGGAGAGCAGUACAAGUACAAAUGUGAAACUGUCGCCUGCCGUCAAAUGAAUAAAUCGUUUGUAAUUGAGAAGAACAUCACAGAAUGUCCUUACCUGAGUUCAAAGGACUGUGGGCCUGGGUUUCAAUAUGAGGAAAAAGUUGGAGAGUGUUGUGGAACAUGUACACAAGUUGCCUGUAUUUAUGAUACACCAGACAAAACCAGACAUAUUCUCAAGGAUGGAGCAGUUGACAAUUACAAAUGUGAAACUGUUACCUGUCAUAAAUUGAAUGGCAUGUUUGUGACUGAGAAGACCAAAACAGAAUGUCCUUACUUGAGUUCAUUUGAUUGUGG